UAAGGAAUCUUGCACAAUGGGGGAAACCCUGAUGCAGCAACGCCGCGUGAACGAUGAAGGCCUUCGGGUUGUAAAGUUCAAAACCUAAGGGAAGAAGAAAGUGACGGUACCUAGGGUUAAGCCCCGGCUAACUACGUGCCAGCAGCCGCGGUAAUACGUAGGGGGCAAGCGUUAUCCGGAAUUAUUGGGCGUAAAGAGUUCGUAGGUGGUUAUCUAAGCGCAAGGUUUAAUCUUGAGGCUCAACCUCAUUUUGCCUUGCGAACUGGACUACUUGAGUGCAGGAGGGGAAAGCGGAAUUCCCAGUGUAGCGGUGAAAUGCGUGGAUAUUAGGAAGAACACCAGUGGCGAAGGCGGCUUUCUGGACUGUAACUGACACUGAGGAACGAAAGCGUGGGGAGCAAACAGGAUUAGAUACCCUGGUAGU
rnacentral:rRNA from 1 species